rnacentral:lncRNA from 1 species
AAUAAUAAUAAUAAUAAUAAUAAUAAUAAUAAUAAUAAUAAUAUAUUAUAUAUAAUAAUAUAAUAUAUUAUAUUAUUAUAAUUAUAUUAUAUAUAAUAAUUAUAUUAUAAUAUAAUAUAUUAUUAAUAAAUAAUAAUAAUAAUAAAAUAAUAAAAAAUUAUUAUUAUUAUUAUUAUUAUUAUUAUUAUUAUUAUUAUUAUUAUUAUUAUUAUUAUUAUUAUUAUUAUUCACUGGAGGUAGGGGGAAAAUCUGGGUGGGCUAGUCAGUGUUGAUGUAACUGUGCUUUCCUUACCAAGGGUGGGUGUUUAAUCAGGUAUGAGCGGCAUCAGAGCGAAAUGAAUCAUAGAAUCAUAGAAUUACUAAGGUUGGAAGAGACCUCCAAGAUCACCUGGUCCAACCAUCCCCCUACCACCAAUGUCACCCACUAAACCCUGUCCCUAAGCACCACGUGCAGCCUCACCUUAACCACAGGAAUGAUGACUCUUAUCACCUACCUGGGUAACCUGUUCCAAUGUCUGACUGCUCUUUAUGAGCAGAAAUGUCUCCUCAUUUCCAGCCUGAACUUCCCCUGGUGCAACUUGAGGCCAUUCCCCCUAGUCCUAUCACUGGUUACCUGUGAGAAGAGGCCUACCCCCAGCUCCCCACAACUUCCAUUGUAAAAUGAAAGCCCUGCAUGCUUUGCUUGAAGAUGGAGGAAGCCAGCAACAUAGAAGCAGAAGGGACCAAGGAAGGGUGGCGAGGCCCUCACCUUUUCCCCUGCUGUCCUGUCUGGUUUUACUCUCUGAAUUACUUGGCUGGAUAAGGUGGCUGUGGGGAGCCUCAGGCAGUGCCAUGGGUGCAGGAGAGAAAGACCUACUUGAAAAAAAGAGUGCCCUUUGAACAUCAGUUUCCCUAACCCUAAGAGGAGUCCUAUCCUAACCUUGACAUCAGUGGUAGGGAAGAGUUUCUUGUGCAGGUAGGUAGUGCGGGGAAUUUCUGCUUUUGUCUCUAACACUAAUUUAAGCAGUAGAGAAAUGCUGUAGUAAGAGAGAUGAUUGGGGUUUAGGUAGAAUGGAAAGAGUGGAGAUAUUUGCCUUUUUCCUCAAUCUCUGGCUCCAGUUAACACGCAGUUGCUUGAUAGUCAUGCUGUCAAAACUAAGGAUUCAGGCACAGGACUGAGUUAUGACAUUUCUGCACAUCUUUCUGUGUACUCUUAGCUCAGGGCAAAUGCAAAGGAAGUCGAUAUAACAAAGGGUGCUUCAGCAGAGUUUCCUUACAUUGCGUUUUACCUGGUAUUAGAGCAUACCCGCCAGCAACUUUUAGUGCUCAUCUAAUCCAUGAUAACUUGGUUGCAUGUCUAAGGUGUCACCUCUGGAAAAGACAGAGAGAAAUGUAUUUUACACGCGUGGUAAAGUGCAGAAGUAUAAAUGUUGUAAAGAAGUAUAAAUGCCAUAUUGCUUAGAAAUUGUGUAGUAUAUGAGAGCAGAUUUGGAGUUACUAUGUGUAUGGAAAUCUUGAGAUUUCAGUAAUGCUUUCAGGAAAGAUAGCAUUCAGCUGGUAUUUCAGCAAAGGGGUGUUCUGAGGUGCAGGAGAAAGGAGAACCUAUUUGAUUUGCAUGAUGUCUUGGUUUCCAAUUGCCUUGUUACACUACUGCUUGAGAUCUAAGGACAACAAGGAUGAGAUUAACUUUUGUAUUCUUUGCAGUAAAAUAAAUAAGAAAGGAUUUUUUAAUUUCGAGUAUAU